rnacentral:sRNA from 12 species
CACGUGGACUGUUACAUCAAACCGUAGUAGACACUCCUUGCAGUUUCGAGACGGGACAGGAAGAAGCGUGAA